rnacentral:rRNA from 1 species
UACGUAGGGGGCUAGCGUUGUCCGGAUUUAUUGGGCGUAAAGGGUGCGUAGGCGGUUCGUUAAGUCUGUCGUGAAAUCCCCGGGCUCAACCUGGGAAUGGCGAUGGAUACUGGCGAGCUAGAGUGUGUCAGAGGAUGGUGGAAUUCCCGGUGUAGCGGUGAAAUGCGUAGAGAUCGGGAGGAACAUCAGUGGCGAAGGCGGCCAUCUGGGACAACACUGACGCUGAAGCACGAAAGCGUGGGGAGCAAACAGG